AUUGCACGCUGGCGGCAGGCCUAACACAUGCAAGUCGAACGAGUGGCAGACGGGUGAGUAAUGUCGGGGAAACUGCCUGAUGGAGGGGGAUAACUACUGGAAACGGUAGCUUAUACCGCAUACCAUCGAAUUGGCCCAGAUGGGAAUAGCUAGUAGGUGGGGUAAUGGCUCACAUAGGCGACGAUCCCUCGCUGGUCUGAGAGGAUGACCAGCCACACUGGAACUGUGACACGGUCCAGACUCCUACGGGAGGCAGCAGUGGGGAAUAUUGCACAAGGGGCGCAAGCCUGAUGCAGCCAUGCCGCGUGUAUGAAGAAGGCCUUCGGGUUGUAAAGUACUUUCAGCGGGGAGGCGUUACCCGCAGAAGAAGCACCGGCUAACUCCGUGCCAGCAGCCGCGGAAAUAC
rnacentral:rRNA from 1 species